AAGGGAUAGGGAAAAUGGUCCCUAUCUGCUAUAGGAUAGGAUCGUGUUCGAUUAUGGUUGUUGGUGAGGUAAUGGCUCACCAAGCCGAUAAUCGAUAGGGGCCGUGAGAGCGGAAGCCCCUAGAUGGGUACUGAGACAUCGACCCAUGCCUUACGAGGCGCAGCAGGCGCGAAACCUCCACAAUACACGAAAGUGUGAUGGGGUUACCCAAAUUGUUCUAUUAAGAGCUGUGGU
rnacentral:rRNA from 1 species